rnacentral:rRNA from 1 species
GAUCAUGGCUCAGAAUGAACGCUGGCGGCAUGCCUAACACAUGCAAGUCGAACGAAGCCUUCGGGCUUAGUGGCGCACGGGUGCGUAACGCGUGGGAAUCUGCCCUUGGGUUCGGAAUAACAGUUAGAAAUGACUGCUAAUACCGAAUGAUGUCGUAAGACCAAAGAUUUAUCGCCCAGGGAUGAGCCCGCGUAGGAUUAGCUAGUUGGUGUGGUAAAGGCGCACCAAGGCGACGAUCCUUAGCUGGUCUGAGAGGAUGAUCAGCCACACUGGGACUGAGACACGGCCCAGACUCCUACGGGAGGCAGCAGUGGGGAAUAUUGGACAAUGGGCGAAAGCCUGAUCCAGCAAUGCCGCGUGAGUGAUGAAGGCCUUAGGGUUGUAAAGCUCUUUUACCCGGGAUGAUAAUGACAGUACCGGGAGAAUAAGCUCCGGCUAACUCCGUG